GGGNUCUCCCAGGAGCAUGUCUGUCUGAGUGUCGGU
rnacentral:rRNA from 1 species